CUCACACCCAGGCAGAGCUCCCCUUGCCGGACCACCUGCUAUUUGCUGGGUCAGCGGGUGUCCCGCGUCGGCCGGGGAUGAUGGGAUAUUGGUGAAGAGUGGCGCAAGUGAGUCCAUUCAAGGGGCCUUGUAGAGGGCCUCAACAUAAGAGGACCUUGGCAAAUGAGAAGGGUGGAAAAGAAGCCAAUAAACAGAAGCACAGCCACGAGGGUGAAAGGGCCACUGAGGCAGGUCCACAGCCACCACGGCAGGUGGAGCCACUGGGGUGGAACAGAAGCAAGCAGACAUCUGCACCUGUACAGGACAGAUGCCACCCAGGAGUCAAGAUUCAGCCUCCUCCUCCUCCUGCCCCUCUUCCUCCUCCUCCUUUUCCAUGCAUCCAGGGGCAACCGUG